rnacentral:rRNA from 1 species
AUUGAACGCUGGCGGCAUGCUUUACACAUGCAAGUCGAACGGUAACAGGCCUUCGGGUGCUGCCGAGUGGCGAACGGGUGAGUAAUGCAUCGGAACGUGCCCAGAGGUGGGGGAUAACGCAGCGAAAGCUGUGCUAAUACCGCAUGUGAUCUGAGGAUGAAAGCGGGGGACCAAGCAGCAAUGUUUGGCCUCGCGCCUCUGGAGCGGCCGAUGUCAGAUUAGGUAGUUGGUGGGGUAAAGGCCUACCAAGCCGACGAUCUGUAGCUGGUCUGAGAGGACGACCGCCACCACGGGAGGUAAGAGAGGCCCAGGACCCCGGGGGGAGGAGCCGGGGGGAGUUUUGGAACAAGGGGCCCAAGCUUUAACCAGCAGUCCGGCGGGGGGAAAGAGGGCGUGCGGUUGCUAAACGUGUUUUGUAGGAAAAGAAAGGUCCGUGGCUAAUACCUGGGGCUGAGGAGGGUACGUAAAAAAAAAACACGGGCUAACCACGAC